rnacentral:rRNA from 1 species
AUUGAACGCUGGCGGCAGGCCUAACACAUGCAAGUCGAGCGGACGAAGGAAGCUUGCUCCUGGAUUCAGCGGCGGACGGGUGAGUAAUGCCUAGGAAUCUGCCUGGUAGUGGGGGAUAACGUCCGGAAACGGGCGCUAAUACCGCAUACGUCCUGAGGGAGAAAGUGGGGGAUCUUCGGACCUCACGCUAUCAGAUGAGCCUAGGUCGGAUUAGCUAGUUGGUGGGGUAAAGGCCUACCAAGGCGACGAUCCGUAACUGGUCUGAGAGGAUGAUCAGUCACACUGGAACUGAGACACGGUCCAGACUCCUACGGGAGGCAGCAGUGGGGAAUAUUGGACAAUGGGCGAAAGCCUGAUCCAGCCAUGCCGCGUGUGUGAAGAAGGUCUUCGGAUUGUAAAGCACUUUAAGUUGGGAGGAAGGGCAGUAAGUUAAUACCUUGCUGUUUUGACGUUACCAACAGAAUAAGCACCGGCUAACUUCGUG